ensembl:snoRNA small nucleolar RNA, H/ACA box 69
AAAGCAGGUUGCAAUUACAGUGCUUCAUUUUGUGGGAGUACUGCCAUUAUCCUGCUGAAAGAAAACCCAUGUUAAUUGUUUCUGGUUUUACCUUUAUGUGGGCAAAAUCAUGACAGCUUGGCAUGGACAGUU